GCGGCUACACAUGCAAGUCGAGCGGUAGCACAGAAGAGCUUGCUCUUUGGGUGACGAGCGGCGGACGGGUGAGUAAUGUCUGGGAAACUGCCUGAUGGAGGGGGAUAACUACUGGAAACGGUAGCUAAUACCGCAUAACGUCUUCGGACCAAAGAGGGGGACCUUCGGGCCUCUUGCCAUCAGAUGUGCCCAGAUGGGAUUAGCUAGUAGGCGGGGUAAUGGCCCACCUAGGCGACGAUCCCUAGCUGGUCUGAGAGGAUGACCAGCCACACUGGAACUGAGACACGGUCCAGACUCCUACGGGAGGCAGCAGUGGGGAAUAUUGCACAAUGGGCGCAAGCCUGAUGCAGCCAUGCCGCGUGUGUGAAGAAGGCCUUCGGGUUGUAAAGCACUUUCAGCGGGGAGGAAGGCAGUAAGGUUAAUAACCUUGCUGAUUGACGUUACCCGCAGAAGAAGCACCGGCUAACUCCGUGCCAGCAGCCGCGGUAAUACGGAGGGUGCAAGCGUUAAUCGGAAUGACUGGGCGUAAAGCGCACGCAGGCGGUCUGUUAAGUUGGAUGUGAAAUCCCCGGGCUUAACCUGGGAACUGCAUUCAAAACUGACAGGCUAGAGUCUUGUAGAGGGGGGUAGAAUUCCAGGUGUAGCGGUGAAAUGCGUAGAGAUCUGGAGGAAUACCGGUGGCGAAGGCG
rnacentral:rRNA from 1 species